ACUUAUAAAACAUACACAUAAAGGAGAACUGAUUAAGGUGGGUUACCCAAUAACACGUGUCACAACUUCAUAACAUAGAGCUAUCUUAAUCAAAGUGUUUUGCAGCGGAAAACGUGUGAGAUAUACAUAUGAAGAUGUAUACUCAAGGUUACAUUUCUUGAAAUGUCAAAGGAACACCCGCUCAACGCCAUUCCAUUCCAUCAGCUGCUCAACCUGCACAUUUAGAAAUACAUGCAGGGCUGAGUAUAAAAAUACUCAGUGGGCAUAGCCGAAAAUACAACAUGCAUACAUAUAUAAAUUGAACUGCCAUAACAGUAACACACAGGGGUUUUCUUGAAUGGCCUGCGCUUACUAAAACAUUUCGUUCAUUUUCAUAAAGUCGAUCGGCCGAUCAUUUUCCUUCAUAUGAUCCAUAUAUGUUCCUUUCUGUCACGCGCCGGGAAGGAGGCCUCCUUACCACGGAUGCAAAGACCGAUCGCAAGCGACUCGCGGUCUCCAUAAGUGUACACGUUAACCCUAGCUAGCAACCUUUGUCUAGCAUAGGAUCCCAAUUGGAUUUCCUUUAAAGUUGGCGAACCAACACAGAUAGGAUACAUAUAAAAACAUAAACAUUUUUGGCAGUCAAUCAUUUCAUAAACUAUUUCAUUUCAUAAACAUUUUCAUUUUCAUUUCAUAAGAGUCAUUUAUCAUUUGGGCAUAAUAAUAAACUGAAAUUAACAGUUAAAAUCAUCUCAUGCAUAUAUUCGUAUAAGAGGCCUACGACACGCAGGGGAUCUCUAUAUACGUAUAGUAAAAGUAAUGCCCACCUCAAACGUUCUUAAGCUAGCGUGGAGUCGCUUCUUCUUCGGCUUCAUUUCCUGUCGCCCGGACCCUUAUUGAUGAAGAGUCGGUAAGUUCGUGAAGAAAAUUGUCACAAGACAAAGUCUAAUUCUACGUGUCUAGGGUAUCUUUUAGUAUUUUAGGGUUCUAGCAUCCAUAAGUCGUUUCGAUUAAAACAAUCAAAAACCAACAUAACAUCGACUAACC
rnacentral:lncRNA from 1 species